rnacentral:rRNA from 1 species
AGAGUUUGAUCAUGGCUCAGAGUGAACGUUGGCGGCGUGGAUUAGGCAUGCAAGUCGAGCGAUCGUAGCAAUACGGGAGCGGCAAACGGGGUAGGAAUACAUCGGAACGUACCUUUUGGUUGAGAAUAGCGUUGGGAAACUGACGGUAAUACUCAAUAAAGUCGAGAGACCAAAGGUUUACUGCCGGAAGAGCGGCCGAUGCGAUAUUAGGUAGUUGGUGGGGUAAUGGCCUACCAAGCCUGAGAUGUCUAGGGGGUGUGAGAGCAUGGCCCCCACCACUGGGACUGAGAUACUGCCCAGACACCUACGGGUGGCUGCAGUCGAGGAUCUUCGUCAAUGGGCGAAAGCCUGAACGAGCGACGCCGCGUGCGGGAUGAAGGCCCUUGGGUUGUAAACCGCUGUCAGGGGGGAUGAAACCGUAGGGUUGACAGAGCCCCAGAGGAAGCACGGGCUAAGUUCGUG